UGGCUCAAGUAACCAAAGUGAUUAAACUUCAGAGAAAACAAUUUCCUUGUCUUGCCAUUGCUUGAUGCAAGAAAAUGAAGCCUCCUUCCUCAGGUCUUCAAUUGCUGAAGAAAGAAAAAUUGCUUCAGCUGAAGAACUGUUUGCUGAACUGUUACCUGUCUGCCCCACUCGUGCUGUCAUGCAGCUUGUAUGCUGCAGAUGUUCACAGCUGCCCCAUGGCUAUGCUGUGGCUUAGUAUGUUAGCUUUUGCAAGGAAUUCUGUUUUGGAAAUUAAAGAGAAACAAGCCUUGCUUCUUUGAGAUGAUGGAGGUCUACUCUUAUAUCUCGGUGUCUUGGUGUUCAUGGAGACAUUUUGAUCCUUCUGUUCAUUCUCAGUGUCAGCUGGAAUUCUGGAAAAAAUGAAGGCUUGAGGAAUAGAUAGGUGUUACAUUAAAUAUUAACUGCAUUUCUUCUGGACAUAUGUACCUGCACUGGAUGCUGCUGUAGCUAUUGAAGCUUGCAUCUCUUAUGUAUUCUUGCUGUUGCUCUCUCCACCCUUGCUUUCUUUUCAUUACUUCACAGAGAUUAGUUCCUUUUCUUGUUGUGGGCAAAUACUUUAGAGGCAACACAGCUUUCUCUUCCACCAACAUAAAGGGUGAUGUCUUUCCUCCACACAUAGUAGGGGAGGAAAUUCUAAGCCAUGCUUUCUGCCUGGUACACACUGAAGUGAUGCUGCGAGCAGCAAAAUAAAAGCUCUUUCAACUGUUUGGCUGCUUUACAGCAAUGCAGUGUAGUACAGCAUGUAUCAAAGAUCUGAAGUACUUGGUGAUACAGAUAAUUGCUUUGUCUUCUGUGUCGUGACAGGUAAGAGAUGGACUGUCCUUGCAGGCUUACUUUACCUUCUGUUUAAUGCCAGUCUUCAGUCUGAGAUAGAUUUGAGCCUCUGUUUCUCAUCGCUUACCAUGGAAGUAAAGUAAUUCAGACAAUAUUGGCAACUCAACUGAAAGAUUAAAAUGAUGGGUGGAAUUGGAGCAGAACAAGGCUGCUGUGUUUGGAUUAGUGUUGAUCCUCUGUGGAAUAGCUCUAUACUUAGACUUGGGUCAGAUUCUGAUCUCAAAACCAUUUGAUUUAUGUGCUAAUCAGAUCUUUUUUUGUGCUUUUUCUAUUAAGAAUGAAAUUGAGUAAUUGGAUAAGUUUCCAGAGGAUGUACAUCAAAAUCAAAAUCUAAUAGGGAUGGGGCUUAUGUUGCAAUUUAUUAAUUUAAACAAAGUAAAAACAGAGUUAAUUUUUUUGGCAAGACUGUGUUAAGCACAUAAAAGCUAUGCAUCCAUCCCUAAGUGAUGUUUUAAUGCAUUAAAGAAACUUGCUGUUUGCCAAUGAUUUUCUGUGGUCUUUUGGGAAAUCCUCUGUAAAUUCUCAUUUUGAAUUAAAGAUAUUUGCAGUUUUUACUUAACUAUGAAAAUAGUUGAGUAUAUUUCCUGAAGACCCUGAAAAGCUACCUAACACUGCAGAAAAAAUUUAUUUUUAUUGUGACUUUGUUUAAACUAAGUUCUCCUGUCUUUGAAAUGUUUGGCUGUGGAUUAUAUAGGAUUAUACUAGUCAGUAUUCUGAAAGUUUCUUUUGUGACAUUACACAGAAAAGAGCAGAGGACCUCUGCAGAAACUGCAAAAACAAUGCCAUGUAUCUCCCCUUUUACAACUAUGUUAAAAAAAGAAUGGAGUUCAAUUACAUUUUAACUUGUGUGUGUGGUUUUCCAGUCAUGUGACAUAAAAGUAGGUGUCCUCAAUUAUCAGCAUUUCCUUUCCUGUAGUCCUAGUUAAUUUUUAAUUUUUUUUUCCAUUCAGGCUUUUAGAGGCAUUCUAUUGUUUUUGGGUGAAUGCUAGUAAUAAAUAUUUCUAUGCCAACUCGUGUUUUAUUCAUAGUGCUGAUGAGAACAAACUCCUCUGAAAUUUCUUUUGCUCAAGAAGUUCAAAAACUUUACAGAUGCAAUAGAUUUCUUUUCAGCUUGGUGUGAAGAUUUUUCUAUUGCUUUGCUGGACGUUUUUGAAGAAACUAGAAAUUGCCAAGUUCUGCUUUUUAACUGAAGCAAUAGGAACCAACCUCAUACAUACAGCAAGUGGACCAGCUCUUUAUUUUCGUCAUUUCAAGAUGCCAGUAUUGUACUAAAAACACAUAUGGCUACCUUUUUAAUAAUAAAAAAUUAAUUCUCUGUCAUGGAGUGGAAAAUGCACUGUUGUGCUCUCUUGUGAUCACAUGGAGGUUUACUGCCCUAAGAUCCUGGGAUAUUGUCCAGAGUCAAUUGACCUCUCCUUGAAACGGGUAAGAGUCUGAAACUUCUAUAUAUGCAUGCAUUCACUUUGCAGAGGAGAUGCAGCUGUAGAUGUGCAGUACUCAUGACUCCAGGGAUUAUAGAUUUAUAUCCUAAUGGUGAUGAAAGAGAAUUUUAACUAGUAGCUGAUAGUGUAUUUUUAUCAUUGGUUUUUAAACUUACUUUUAGCAGUAAUGGCUUAGAUCAAUAAUCUAUUGAUAGCUUAUUCAAGCUGAAGGUUUCAAUUCAUCCUCGCCAAACAAGGUAUUUCCAUUGUUCAUUAUUAUGUGCAGCUUCCAUUUCAACUCUGAACUCAUAAAUCAUAAAUGAAUGUGAAGUGUUCAUUUCUCUCUUUCAGCACUACCUUUAUCUAAUAUUUGCUGACAGGGCUCAUUGUAACUUAUUUCUGAGUGCAGUCAGGCCUUGUUUUAUGAACAGAAUUCAUUGUUGGAAAGGAUUCUAUAAAUAGAACUUAAGGGGCACCAAAAUGAGAAAUUCUACCUCAUUAGCAUCUUCACUGGAAAAAUCUGAUCUAAUACACAGGAAUUUUGAGCUGAUGAAAUACAAGCAAAUCUCAAAAUAGAUUCUAAAGGGUAAUGCUGUGAAUGGACUAUUAGUAUGUUACUAUUUAGGGUGAUAGAAAGAGAAAAGAGAUUCAAGGUAGUAUAUAUUAGAAUAAGAGGAGAAAAAAAAACAGCAUUGAUAUUACAAAGAAGUAUGUAUACAGUGGGUUAUUUUCUGGUAUUUUGAGUUGUCUUCUUCAGGUGAGGCUUGCAUGAAAUCAAAAUCCUGUAACAAAAUAGCCCUGCUUAUCUUCCUCAUAUGUAAGAGACAGAGAUGUCUCCUCUAGCAAUGCUAGGUAGUGAAGUGGUAAGGCAAAUUUAUGGAGAAGUGAUUCUAUUUCAGCAUCUCAAGGAGGAUUACUAAUGGAAAAUAUAUUAAUCCUCUGAACUAUCUAGUCUCAUGGAAGACUAAAGGCUUAUUGCAUCAGCCUAGAAGUAUGUCCUCUGGGGACAAUGUGAGGAUCUGUGCACAAGUUUUGUGUUGAAUGUGUCUGGCACAUAGUGCUUGCCAGAAGUUGAAAGUCUGGUGCUAGGGCUUGCAUGAAGACUCUGUCCUAACUCUUCCCAUGCUGGGUGACUUCAAAUGUGGCUGAAUAAUUAAUUAAUUAAGUCAGGAUAUUAUUUCAUGAUAACAAAACUAAUUUAUUUCUUUACUUCCUCUUUCCCCAGUGAGAAACAAAGUAUAGUGACUAUGCAGAGAGAGACCCUAUUGUCUUGAGACACAGUUUCAGAUACAUUUCUCUGAAGCAACUAUCUAUAGCACAGUAUUACUGUCAUGGAUGGGACCAUAACGUGAAGUGGUGGCCUGGAUAGAAGCCAGUUGGUGGACAUGAAGACAAGGCUGAAUCUUAACUCACAGUGUGUGUGGUCUCUGCGAGGCAUUACAUAUAACAGUUCCAUUGAGCAUCAAAUCAUCAGACCCUCAAGAACCUCUUGAAGUGACAAGCCUUUAAUAUCUCAGCAACAAUGUGGAAAACCUCAUGUGAUAGCACAGUCUCCGCUUUCUAGGUCAGUUGUUUCUCUAGUGAGUACAAAUAUGCAGCAGAACAAACAUUUCUCUAUGUUUAAUGAAAACCAUGAGCACUCUCACAGAACCUGAACUGUGUAAAACUGGUCAUGUAGGCGAAAGAUCAUGAAAGUUUCUCUGAGCUCCUGUGCCAAAAAUAGUGGACAUUUGCUAUCUAGAAUCAAAGAGCUGCUAUAAAAAGAUGAUUCUAAGCCUGUGGAGUAUCUGUGUCAUUAGUCAGGAGGGUUUAUUUUUGGAAUAAGCGUUGACAAUGCCACUUACAAUCAAGGCAGACAUAAAGCUACUGAACCAUGAGCUCCAGGAGCAGCGUUACACAGAGAACACUGUGACUCUAAUGUGAGGAAAACCAGGGUGCGUUACCAUCUGUGAGCUUUCUAUCUUAGAGAAGAAAUGAUAAUUAUAUUACAGAACUACAUAAUUCUUGCAGUAGUUUCCUAAGCUCUGUGUUUCCCAGAAAACUCACAGGCCUUAUAUGUGAUGACCCUUUCUCUAGGCUAGAAGGGCAAGAUGCUGUUCAUUGUUUAUCAGCCAGUAGUGGCUGAUUAAGUGUCAGAAGACAUGUUCAUUACCUAAGUGCAGAGCUUGAAGGCUCUCUGCAAUCACAGCAUUUUCUGACCCUCAUGCUCACACUCUGGUACACUUGGGGAUUUUUUAUGAUUGAAGUAGAAAUUUGUAUUUCCAAGAAAAGUUAGUGUCUGUCCAUUUUUCUAGUCCUCAGUACCACUUUAAUUGAGGGCUUUGCAAUCUUGCCCUUAAGAAGCCCUGCAAAUAUUUUCAAGCAGCAAAGCAAGGCAUAGACUAUUAAUUUGUUCAAGGUCACUGAAGAAAUCUCUGAUGGAACAGAAUUCAAGUUUCCCAAGUGCAGCUGUCCUCAGUGGUCCUGUCAUCUUCUGACAAAGGGUAUCUUUUAUUAGAAGACUUUAUUCCAACUGAUAGGCUGAGUCAAUUUAUUUUGCUGCACUUCUGGAGUGGAGCUGUAUCCAAAUGCAGUCUCCUGGCCAGAACUUGCUGCAAAUGGCAAGGUGUCAUACCAGUGUGCUUGUAAAGACAAAACGAUAGAGCAAAGUACAAGCUGGCAGCCUAGCCAGUUGUUCUUCUGGAGCACAGCUGCCUGGUAUAAUGCACAUGUGGCCUAAUGGUACAUAUCUGAGCAGAAAAAGACUCCUGGUGACUCAUAAUUUCUAAUUUACACAGAUGUAGUACAUGGUGGUAUAUAGGCAUUAGUCCUUUUCCUAUUUAAAAUAAAUGAAUUGUCUGGCUUCAAAUUCAAAUUUUUUUUUGAAGCUGAGAAAGUUGUGCAGGUCUCCAUGUGUAAUAGAUAGUUAAUGUUACACUGAAUUAUGUAUCUAGAAAGCAGAAUUUAUACAGGUAAUAUGUAAUUCAAAAUAUUUGCUAUGCUUAAAUUAAGCAUUUCCCUGCUCACCUUCCUCUGAUCUUGAAGAGCACUGCAGACCACAUCUUUUUCCACUGCUUGCACUGUGGUAUGUCUUAUUUAAUACAUCUCUUCAGGCUAUAUUACUCAGUCCAUCUUAGCAGCAGAAUUUGGAGUCUGCUACUACAUAGACCAUCUGGGAGCUCUGCAAAGAUGGAGAGAGUUCUGCUUCACUUUCUACAGGAUUGAGACUAUGAGGAAAAUGUCAGAAAAAUUACAAAAAACAAGGUGGGGAGGGACUUCCCUCUUUCUCAGUGAUUAUUAGAGAUAGACACAGCACUCCGACCUUCUUCCUUUCUACAGAGUUCUAUUUCCAAGUCACACUUCUGUUUAUGCUUUCUGUUUAUGCACAUUUCUGUUAUUCUUUGAGUUGCUUAAAAUCCUUUUCCGACAUGAAAGAUGUUUUUAUCCAGUUCUUACAUCUUGUGCUUGUCUCUGGCUAUGUUUAAAAUUAUGUUAGAAGUUCAGUUUUCUUCCUUAAGGAAUGAUUAAAAAGACUGAAGUAAUUGACAGUGGUGUGAAGAAGGCCUGCUUCUUUUUCAUUUGUACUAGUAUAAAUGUGAAACAAUUCCACUGAAUACAAAAUCAAUUUCUCAAAGAAAAACUAGAGUUGGAAUGCUGAUGGUAACAAAUUUUCUUUUACAGGCUGGUAAUACACUUUUCUGCACAAACACUGAAAAAUUUAAGUGAUUCUAAAAACAAUGCCAUUGUUUUGCCCCCAUGGAAUGAAAUCCUUGCCAAGUUUCCAGGGAAUGUGUUUGAUAAGGACUGGGCAUCCUUGUGACCUUACUAAAUACUCUCCUAGUGUGGGAAUACAUCUUACACACUGUGCCCAAUAAGAAUAGUAACAUUGCUAACUUUGUAACAGAUAGCUAAAAACAGACUACUUCACACCUUGGGUAAAAUAGUCCAGUAUCUCAUGGAUGAUGUGAGAAAAUCAACAUGUGAGUGAGACUGGGGGUUUGAUUUAAAAGAAAGGGGAUGAGAAGAGAAAGCUCAAAUGAUGACUCCUGGGUAAUUAGAACUGUCUAAUCUGGCUCCUUUCUGCCUCUAAAGUUACACAUGAAGGUUUAUAUUGCAACUCAGCCCAUUAAUGAUGAAUAAUUGGAUAGGUAACAGAGCAGCUCACAUCACCUUCUUUCCAUAGUGCACUGAUGGGAGAACUUUGCUUCAGAGCUGAAAAUGUGAGUGAUGUGAAGAGUAUAAAUGAUAUUACUAAAGUAAAAUUUCACAAAAAUACACUUAAAAACAAAGCAAAAAAAAAAAAAAAAAAAAAAAAAGUACUUUACAAAGAAGUCUCACUACAUUUGGGGCUGGAGUACUUGCCUUUCUUUCCUCCACAUUCUCCUCUUAUUUUAUAUUUUUAAUAGAUUGAAACUCUGCUUUGAUAAGUAUGGAGACAGCAAUACUUCAUUAAUGAUGGUGACAGUGUUAUUUUGCUAGGAAACACUGCUAAGCUCCAGCUUCUAAUUCAAGCAUGAAAAGUAGUUUUGAGGGUAAGGUUUUUAAUUCCAGUUGUAUAAACUCUGCUUUUUAAUGUAUCUAAGAUAUCUUGCACAAUUUUACAGCUAAGCCCAGAUAUCUUGCUAAUUCAAUUUAUUACGACUUUGCAUAUUUACAGGUGGUUUUUACUGUUAGACUGCAGAGUUCACUUUAUAAUAAGGCUUGGCAAUUGUGGGGAAAACUGUGAAAAUUUAGCAAGAGUACAAUUUUUUCUUGGGUUGAUUAGACAGCCAGCAAACCAGAUAGCUUAGCUCCAAAUUGAUUCAUUAUCUGCAGCAGUCCAGGAUAUCCAGUCAAUACAUCCAUUUUCUUAAAUAUUGAUCAAGAUUGUAAAGUUUGACGGAUUGCAGUGGCAUGGAAAUCAUUGCUCUAGUUUAUAUUUUUGAAUACUUUUCACCUAAACCUGUGUCUGUAGACAUUUCAGUGAAAACCUGUGAUGACUCAGUGCUAAUAAAGUUUGUAAUACAAUUAGGAAUCUUUGCGUUUGACAAACCUCAGCCAAAUUUUCAUAAUAGCUGUUAUUGAGCCUGACUUUCAGAAAUCCGUGCCUCGCAUUUUAGGAGUGAUCAGUUAUUUGAAAAUUCAGCUAAGCUUUGUCAAUUGUCCUAUUUCAAAGCACACAAAGUACUUCAAGUUUAUGUGAAUGACUAAAGUGUUCUGGGGAAAUAAAUAGCAGGAAAUGCUUUAUAGAUGCAGAGGUUUGCAGUAUACUUGCACAGAAAAAUGAGAUACAUUCAGUAUAUAUGUGUUUGGAUUUUGCAUUUGCAUGAUUCUCCUGUUACAUUAUUUUUCUGAAGGGUUUGGAAGUUGUCAUGUGUCACUUCAGUUGCUUAAGCCCUGCUGAAAGAGUUCUACUAUUUAAUACAUUCCACACAAACAUUAAGAAAUUCAUGAUGUUUGCUUCACAGAACAUAAAAAAUUUCACCGAAAAUUCCUAUUCCAUGUCUGAAUGGAUAGCAAAACUUUUUAUUUUAUCACAUUUAUUUUGAGAGGAAAUUGACAUUAAAGCAUUUAGGAGUCUAAUAGUCUUGUCCUAAAUCGUUCACACUCUAAAACAUCCCCAGUCUCUCAAACAUCAGAGAAGUCUCACUUUCAAUCAAAUGAACUAUUUAUCUUGACUUUUAAGCUUUUUCCGUAAUUACUAUUUUAUUCUUUGCUUGUUUUUUAUUAUGCAAUUUAUUAAAAUGAUAUAACAAGCAAAAUAAAAUGAAUUCUAGCUGCUUUUCUUUGCCUUAUGACAUAUUUUACAUUUAUCUCAUCUAUUCUGCAGGUAUAAUACUGCAAGAUCCUUAAUUUGCUAAUAGUGGGAUUUUAAAAUAUUUCUUGAUCUGCUCCAUGCUCUGCAGAUAUAAUUUUGAACCAGAGUCUGCAGUGUUCUGGGAAUCCUUGCAUAAUCUGGAAUGUGCCAUAAAUAGAACAUGCACUCAAAUGGAAGGAAAGCGUGACUUAUUUUAUAACUAUAUGCUUGCCACAGAUCCAACUUCCAUCCAAAGUCAAAUUGUUCUUGUCAGGAUUGCCAAGUUGCUUGUUGGACAGAGAAAGCUCUUGCAGUGUGCAAGGUGACUUUUCAGAUUAAAGGGAGUAGGGGAGGAAUGAGGUUUCUCUUUCUGCCAAGUAACUGGUUUUGGUCCUUUUACUGGGUUCUUCACAUAUUCAGCUUGUGGUACUCUCCCACAGUGAGAUCAGAUUGACUGUUCAAGAAGACCUGUGAGACGCUGUCCUGAGUUAUGGUCACUACUGAGUCUCCACUGAUAUCAGCAGUUCUAGCACUGAAAAGAGCUGAGCCUUUGCAACUCAUAGAGAUAUGAAGACAUAAUCAGUGAGCAACUGUAUCUUUAUUCUAUUUCUGUGUGCCAUUCACAAUUACUGAUUUGACAUAAGAAGGACCGACUUGGAGAGCACUACGUACCUCUCAGCCAUCACCCAAUGAAAGUGAGAUGCAGCUCCCAUUAGGUGUCUCCUUUCCUUUCUGUUUUUUUUUCUUUUCAUACAUUAUUGCCAGAUUUGCUGGCUAGAGUAGGAAGAGGAAGCAAUAGCAAUGCAAAACCUGUGCCUCCAGAGUUCUGUCAAAUUGGUUGCUCAUUUACUUUUUAUAUUUACUUGCUAUUUUUUCAAGGGCAUCUUGGAGGAAGAAGAUGGCUCUUCUUGGCUUUCUCAGAUCUGUGAUCUGACAACAAUUUGUGCCCUCUUUAUUUCUGUUCUUCUGAACCUUUUUGAUUCGUUGUGAAAAACCUGUUAUUGUUGCAACUAGGGAAAACUCUGAAAUACAAAUUUAUGGAUUUUUACUCACUCAGUGAAAGUUGAUUCCUCUGUCUCUUCUCCUCAUCUGGGUCAUCAAAUAAUUGCAACAUCUUUAUUCCCAGCGAUCUGAAAUGAAAAAUGUCAGUCUUUCCUUUAAUUUCCCCAAACCUUCCAUUUAUCAGAAGACCUAAUUUUAAACUAAAGUAAGAAUUAGAUUGGAGGACCACAGUAAGAGUGGACAAACACAAGCUCAUUAGCCUACCAAGGCUUUCUGAAUGUGUCAUUGAAAUUACUAUAUUUUGAAACUAGAAAAAGGUUUUUUGGGGUUUCUGUCAUUACUCAAUGAGGUACAGUGUUACUUGUAGCUAAAAUAUGGCUGCAAUGCAGCCCCUCUUGAUGGUGUAACUUUUGAUGGCUAUGGUGUGAUUUACACAGCAGAGGGAAUCCUUUUAAUUUUGCAAUUUAUUUAGCUCCACUGCACCUCUUUUUUACCCUGCCAGGAAAAUGUGUGGCUGCACUGCUUUUAUUAACUGUAUCUAUUUUUAAUAGGCCUCUUGAGUUUACUGGCAGUUGGUAUUACUGAAAGCAGACCUCAUCCUACUGCACCCUACACAUGGGUGUAUUCGGGCAUGUGUCCAACUUGAGAGGGAAUAUAAAACCUCUUCUGCAAAACCAUUUGGAUGUGAGCUAGACUACAGUGACAUUCUGGAGCAAUGUUACAAGACAUGUGUAAACCUCCAAAAUAUAUUUGGAAACAGUUUCCAGACACGUGCUUGCAGCUGGGAGCAAUUUUAAUAUUUUUCGUAGCUCAAUGUUGCUUAUAUUAUAUGCAAAGAGAAUCAGCUGCCAAUUACAAAUGAGUCCUGCAAAAAUCUUGCCUCCAGAAUGGAGAUCUUGUAUGUAAAGCACAGUUGUAAGCAAUUAGGAAAUAAUCACUUCAGUAAAAAUGAAGUACAAAUUUUUCUCCUGAAUAUAACUAACAUUUUUAAAAUAAAUGAAUCAAAGAAAUACGUUAUUGAUUCAAGGUUAGGAAGGUCUAAGAAAUGUUUGUAGAACCAUUAUUAGCACUGGCUGAAUGUACUGAGACCUUCAGGCUGAACUGUCAGCACUGUUCUUUAGACCUAGUCUGUUCAAGUCAGAAAAUCCCAGUGAUGUUGGAUUAUCCCAAUUUGUGUAGUCAUAGAGUUAGUACAAAACAUAUCCCAAAACAGAAUAUAUUAUUGGAAAAUUUCAUUAUUUCACUUUUACUAAUUCUAGUUCAUUUUCUGCCAUUUGCAUGGAAAAAAACCGAUCAGAUGGUAGCUCCAGCCUCAAACAUUUUUCUUCUUUUUAAUUUUAGUAGGAGACAAGAUUACUUUUUACUGCUCAUCAGUGUGAUGCUUUGCAUUUGAUCCAAAGUAACAAAAAAGAAAAUGUGAGGUGUAUUAAAAAAGAAUUUGGGGAUCGCUUAGAAAAGAGAAGUAUCCACACUGCUGAGGGGCUCUUUAACAUUUUUGCUUCACCUUGCUUUUGUGAAUCCUCAUAUAAGAGAAUAGCAUUUCACACAGCUGGACCUUCCCAGUGAAUCUUCUUUCAUGAGCUCUUGCACCUUUAGAAGCCUCUCAGGCCCUUUGUGAAGCAGGAAAAUAUUUCCCCUGUACAAAAUCAGCAGACUGAGGAACUAAGGAAGGAAAAUCACUGGUUGUACACUGAAUACAUCUAAUAGUAGAGUUCAAGUGCUUUGACUUCCAUUAUACUCACAAAAUAAACUUGAAACAUAGAUUGAAAUUGCUUGUGAGAGCCCUUGGCAUAAUGCAUCAAACCACGUAAGGAAAAAAUAUAAUUUCCUGUGAAGCUGAUGAGGAAGAGAUGCAUUAACGUGUGGCUUGGGUCAGCCAGGGGGUUAAUGAAAAUAUGUCAUAAGGCUGUUAAGCAAUAAAAAUUAAAGUCAAGUUGAGUUUAGAAAGUAAGUUAGUAGGUAAGACAUAAACCAUUUUUUGAGGAGUUUAGUUGAAAUAUCGAGAAACAGGCACUUGCUUUUUUUUCAGAUCUUCAAUAAGACUUGUUAGUAUCAGACAAUCUCUCAAAGAAAUUCAGGUCUGAUCACACAUUUUUAGGGAUUUUUACAUCUAUAUUACAUCUAUUUACAUCUAUAAGAUUUACAUCUAUACAUCUAUUCUACCACUGUCCAAGAAAGAAAAGAAGAUAAGACAAAGAACAUGAGUUGGAUCCAGAAAAUCUUCACCAGUCCUUCCCACGGUGCACACUUGAUUUUUCCCUUCCAUCUGUCUUUUGUCAGCGCCUCUGGAAAAACUACAGACAGCAGAAACCUCUUACACCCUGCAGGUCACCAUCUCUGGAAUUUGUUAGACAAGAUGGUAAGAAUGCUCUCUUUGAGACUUCAGUCACUGGAUAUUCUCAGCCAAGAAAGGCUAUUGAUCCAUUCUGGAUUUGACUUAUGAGAGAAGGGAGAAUCAGCUGAAUUCCUACCUACUGGAUUCAGAGAAGUUAUAAUCACAAUGGUUCAGUCUGUUGAGAAGAUAUUCUCUACAAUCAAAUGCUCGAUAUAAUAAAUCACAGUGAACACUACUUACCUUGCUUGUUGCCUGUGCUCUCUUCCCACACCCUUACUUCUUCCCUUUCCUCACCAAAACCCUGUGAUUACUUGUUUUCCAUUUACCCAGAGCUCCAUGCUAAAGCAGAUUCUUAGUUUCUUACAGCUAUUGAAGACCU